rnacentral:lncRNA from 1 species
GGUUUCUUACUAGAGGUAGCCUUCUUGCGAGGUUUGGAGGAUUUCUUCCUAUACCUUUUGCUAGGACUGGUAAAUCCGUAGUCUUGGCAGAAGGUUCCUAGUCCAUAUUUAGAAGUACUAUCCUUCUUAAGCUGUUUCUUAAGCUUGAGGUCAGUGCAGAGAUCUAUCCCUACAGUAGUGAUGAAGCUGAUUAAGUCACCAUAGGUUAGGAUGUCAUAAGGAAUCUUUCCUUC